rfam:Triticum aestivum genome assembly, contig: Triticum_aestivum_CS42_TGACv1_scaffold_147351_2BS
UGCAUACUCCCUCCGUCCGGAAAUACUUGUCAUCAAAAUGGAUGAAAGGAGAUGUAUCUAGUCGUAUUUUAGUUCUAGAUACAUCUCUUUUUGUUCAUUUUGGUGACAAGUAUUGUCGGACGGAGGGAGUAGUAU